AACUGCUCAGGGAAUGGGGUUUCCCUUUAACCGCUUGUAAAGCUGAUAACUCCUGGUUGAGA
rnacentral:ncRNA from 2 species